CGGGAAGAUUCAAAAUCGCGAACCGUUACUGCAUGGAUUACUCUCGAUCUCUUUGUUUGCUCAUCGACAUUACGAGGUCAUGUACACUGUGGUCAACUUUGUGGACGAUGAAGAGGUUUCUGGGUAAAGAUUAUAGAAAUAUAACAAAGUAACAGUGAAAGCUAAAACAUCAGACUGAUCCAGACACUGAAGAAAUUGAUGUCACUGCAAUCUGGCCAAAAUGAUACAACAAUAUUGAACUAGCCUACUGUAAUGAAGCUGCAGAACAACACAGAGACUCUGAGGACAUCAACACAGAAAAUUAAGGCUCCAAAGAGAUGUCUGUCCAGAUGAGGGUGCAUCAACUUUACCUUUGCUGACAACAGUUAACUUAACUCAAACCAUUUAAGGAAAUCGGUUGCCUUAAACCAUUAAGUUUUAAAAAACAUACAUUUGAGUACUGUGAACUUAAGUCUUGUGCAAUUAUGCACUUAUAUUUAGGUAGUGUGAACUUAAAUAUAAGUGCAUAACUGCAUGUGACUCAAUUUUUUUAAGUUCACAGUACUCAAAUCUAUGUGUUUUAAAACUUGAAUGGUUUAAUGCAACCGGUUUUCUUAAAUGUGAGAAAUGACAGUGUUACAGUGAGAAAUGUUUGAUUAAUUCCAAGACAGAGCUCUGCUAUUGAAUCUACACUGCAAAAAAUCAGUUUCUAACUUAGGAUUUUUAUCUUGUUUUCAGUAGAAAAACUAAAAAUUCUUAAAUCAAGAUGUAUUUUCUUGAUGAGCAAAAUUACCUUAGAAAAUAUGUGGUUUUUAGACAAAAAUAUACAAUUUAAGUAAAUUUGUGCCUAAACAAGCAAAAAUAUCUUAACUCUUUCCCCGCCAUUGACGAGAUAUCUCGUCAAUUAAGAGAAAACGCUUCCCCGCCAAUGACGAGAUUUUCCGUCUUUCCGCAAUACCGCUAUUAUCCACCAGGUGGCGCCCUUCCGCAACUUUUUAAAACCGGAAGUAUUGCCCUAUGGCAAGCUGCUGCAUGUCCGUGUCUGUUUUAAAGAUCGCUCUGAAUGGGAUCUCUAUGAAAAGUCCGUCAUAAAAAUGGAAUUAUCUCUGCUUUUUGCUCAAAAUAUGGUAUUUUUGCAAAAACCUACCCAUAUUCAAAAGCUGAUUGCAAAAGAACCACUAAAGGUAGGAUGAAACAUUUUUUUUUGUUUGAAAGCAGAGGGUCUGUUCUUUCAUUUGGUAUAUUGUAUGUUUAUAUAUUUAAAGAAGA